GAUGAACGCUGGCGGCGUGCCUAAUACAUGCAAGUCGAGCGAACAGACGAGGAGCUUGCUCCUCUGACGUUAGCGGCGGACGGGUGAGUAACACGUGGAUAACCUACCUAUAAGACUGGGAUAACUUCGGGAAACCGGAGCUAAUACCGGAUAAUAUAUUGAACCGCAUGGUUCAAUAGUGAAAGACGGUUUUGCUGUCACUUAUAGAUGGAUCCGCGCCGCAUUAGCUAGUUGGUAAGGUAACGGCUUACCAAGGCAACGAUGCGUAGCCGACCUGAGAGGGUGAUCGGCCACACUGGAACUGAGACACGGUCCAGACUCCUACGGGAGGCAGCAGUAGGGAAUCUUCCGCAAUGGGCGAAAGCCUGACGGAGCAACGCCGCGUGAGUGAUGAAGGUCUUCGGAUCGUAAAACUCUGUUAUUAGGGAAGAACAAAUGUGUAAGUAACUAUGCACGUCUUGACGGUACCUAAUCAGAAAGCCACGGCGAGCUACGU
rnacentral:rRNA from 1 species